UGGGGAUCUGCCCAGUAGUGGGGAACAACUCCGAGAAAUCGGAGCUAAUACCGCAUACGGUCUGUUGUGAAAGCAACGAGACUAAAGCCUUCGGGCGCUAUUGGAGGAACCUGCGGCUGAUUAGCUAGUUGGUGGGGUAAAGGCCUACCAAGGCGAUGAUCAGUAGCUGGUCUGAGAGGAUGGACAGCCACACUGGGACUGAGAUACGGCCCAG
rnacentral:rRNA from 1 species